rnacentral:rRNA from 1 species
UGGGGAAUAUUGCACAAUGGGCGAAAGCCUGAUGCAGCAACGCCGCGUGAGGGACGACGGCCUUCGGGUUGUAAACCUCUUUAGCAAGGAAGAAGCGAAAGUGACGGUACUUGCAGAAAAAGCGACCGGCUAACUACGUGCCAGCAGCCGCGGUAAUACGUAGGGCGCAAGCGUUAUCCGGAAUUAUUGGGCGUAAAGAGCUCGUAGGCGGUUUGUCGCGUCUGCUGUGAAAACCCGAGGCUCAACCUCGGGCCUGCAGUGGGUACGGGCAGACUAGAGUGCGGUAGGGGAGAUUGGAACUCCUGGUGUAGCGGUGGAAUGCGCAGAUAUCAGGAAGAACACCGAUGGCGAAGGCAGAUCUCUGGGCCGUAACUGACGCUGAGGAGCGAAAGGGUGGGGAGCAAACAGGCUUAGAUACCCUGGUAGUCCACCCCGUAAACGUUGGGAACUAGUUGUGGGGUCCAUUCCACGGAUUCCGUGACGCAGCUAACGCAUUAAGUUCCCCGCCUGGGGAGUACGGCCGCAAGGCUAAAACUCAAAGGAAUUGACGGGGUCAUAGCUGUUUCC